UAGCACAGAGAGCUUGCUCUCGGGUGACGAGCGGCGCACGGGUGAGUAAUGUCUGGGAAACUGCCUGAUGGAGGGGGAUAACUACUGGAAACGGUAGCUAAUACCGCAUAACGUCGCAAGACCAAAGUGGGGGACCUUCGGGCCUCAUGCCAUCAGAUGUGCCCAGGUGGGAUUAGCUAGUAGGUGGGGUAACGGCUCACCUAGGCGACGAUCCCUAGCUGGUCUGAGACGAUGACCAGCCACACUGGAACUGAGACACGGUCCAGACUCCUACGGGAGGCAGCAGUGGGGAAUAUUGCACAAUGGGCGCAAGCCUGAUGCAGCCAUGCCGCGUGUGUGAAGAAGGCCUUCAGGUUGUAAAGCACUUUCAGCGGGGAGGAAGGCGGUGAGGUUAAUAACCUCAUCGAUUGACGUUACCCGCAGAAGAAGCACCGGCUAACUCCGUGCCAGCAGCCGCGGUAAUACGGAGGGUGCAAGCGUUAAUCGGAAUUACUGGGCGUAAAGCGCACGCAGGCGGUCUGUCAAGUCGGAUGUGAAAUCCCCGGGCUCAACCUGGGAACUGCAUUCGAAACUGGCAGGCUAGAGUCUUGUAGAGGGGGGUAGAAUUCCAGGUGUAGCGGUGAAAUGCGUAGAGAUCUGGAGGAAUAUCGGUGGCGAAGGCGGCCCCCUGGACAAAGACUGACGCUCAGGUGCGAAAGCG
rnacentral:rRNA from 1 species